rnacentral:rRNA from 1 species
UUUCAACAACGGAUCUCUUGGUUCUGGCAUCGAUGAAGAACGCAGCGAAAUGCGAUACGUAGUGUGAAUUGCAGAAUUCAGUGAAUCAUCGAAUCUUUGAACGCACAUUGCGCCCUUUGGUAUUCCAAAAGAGCGGCACUUUCGACCAUCAUUUGUAG